GACGAACGCUGGCGGCGUGCCUAAUACAUGCAAGUCGAGCGAACAGACGAGGAGCUUGCUCCUCUGACGUUAGCGGCGGACGGGUGAGUAACACGUGGAUAACCUACCUAUAAGACUGGGAUAACUUCGGGAAACCGGAGCUAAUACCGGAUAAUAUAUUGAACCGCAUGGUUCAAUAGUGAAAGACGGUUUUGCUGUCACUUAUAGAUGGAUCCGCGCCGCAUUAGCUAGUUGGUAAGGUAACGGCUUACCAAGGCAACGAUGCGUAGCCGACCUGAGAGGGUGAUCGGCCACACUGGAACUGAGACACGGUCCGGACUCCUACGGGAGGCAGCAGUAGGGAAUCUUCCGCAAUGGGCGAAAGCCUGACGGAGCAACGCCGCGUGAGUGAUGAAGGUCUUCGGAUCGUAAAACUCUGUUAUUAGGGAAGAACAAAUGUGUAAGUAACUAUGCACGUCUUGACGGUACCUAAUCAGAAAGCCACGGCUAACUACGUG
rnacentral:rRNA from 1 species